AGCACUAAUUUACAUCACACGGAUGGUACUUAAAACCCAGGACUGUGACUCAGCAACUAUAGUCAGCCAAUACCACAACCUGAAAUCAGACCAGGACUCAGAAAGCUGCAAUGGGAACUUCAGAAAAAGAAAAGAGUCUGAGGGCAUCAAAGAAACAAAUGCUCCCAAGUGAUUAAAAAAAACCAAGGAGGGACUACAAGAAACUUCCAAAGACAGCCCUUUGACCUAGGGAAAAUCCAAGCUGAUCCAUAUGGGAUUGAAGUUCCAAAACAAGAACCAGUCAUCUUUAUACAGAAGCUGAUUAUCAAAUGAAAUGUCCAUUUGGCCGUUUAAUUUGUCCGGGAAUCUGUGUGUUGGGCAGAAAUAAAUAUGUGUUGAACAGCUUGCA